AGAACAGCGGCAAGACAGACCUUACAAGGGACUCAGGGCCAAGCCCUGGCCCAGACUCUGCUCUUAUCCACGCAUCAAAGCCACCCCCCGCCCCGGACUUCCCGGAGGCUACAGGCUCCUCCGUUCCAGGGAGGAGCAGGGCCUGCUGCGAGGGCUCCCCGCCUUCCUGGAGUCAGGCCUAAUGGCGGGGGCUUUUCUUUUCACCGGCUUGAGCUGAUCCUCACCCCCGCCCCCCAACGCCACCAUCAUUAACAGCGAAGAAAGGAUCCCCAGCCAUUUCCAUUUCCUCUGCGGCUCAAGAGCCCCGUUGUUAUUUAAUCCUGAGGCCACCCCGGCAGCAUCCUCGGCGCAGCCGGCUCCACCCAUCCACCUGGCCAGUUCUCGGCCGCUCCCACUUCCCCGGAGGGGAGGCCGGCAGUGGUUGCAACAUCGCCGCGGAGGUAGCGAGCUGAGCUGACAGCGCGGAGCUGGCGCUGUGGAGCGCAGGGAGCCUUGCCGGUUCCUCCGACCGGCGUCUGCGAGUACAGCGGCGGCUAACCUGCCCCG
rnacentral:lncRNA from 1 species